UAGCGUAGGGGGCUAGCGUUGUCCGGAUUUAUUGGGCGUAAAGAGCGUGUAGGCGGCCAGGUAGGUCUGACUGUGGAAAACUCGAGGCUCAACCUCGAGACGUCGGCGGAAACCAUCUGGCUAGAGUCCGGAAGAGGAGAGUGGAAUUCCUGGUGUAGCGGUGAAAUGACGCAGAUAUCAGGAAGAACACCCGUGGCGAAGCGGCUCUCUGGGACGGUACUGACGCUGAGACGCGAAAGCGUGGGGAGCGAACAGG
rnacentral:rRNA from 1 species